rnacentral:lncRNA from 1 species
AUAAAUCAUAUCCAUGUAUUUCAAGUAUUUACUCAUAAUAUUUCGUCUUGAAUUUAUGUUAUCUCAUAUAAGAACUUUACCCGUUGAACCAUUUAAAAUAUCGAUGGAUAGUCGGGUAGUACACACAAAGUGUACAAAUCUGUAUUCCGUCAAUUCAUGUAUUAUCCAUCAAUUCAUAUUUAGGAAUUCUUAUACGAGCACAUAAACAGGAAGCUCAUUCGAG